GACCAGGGGCCUGGCCCACAACCUAGGCAUGUGCCUUGACUGGGGAUCGAACUGGCAACCUUUGGUUUGUGGGAUGAUGUUCAACCCACUGAGCCACAUCAGUCAAGACCAAAAAUGGCAUUUUCAGUCUGCAGUUGGGAGUUUGCGAAUUCAAAGAGCUGACUGUAUACUUUGUUCAUGCCAUUUUAUAUAGGGCACUUGAGCACCCAAGGAUUUUGAUAUUCGUGGGGGAUCCUGGAACCAGUCCCCUGCAGAUACCAAGGGAGGACUAAACUUUUUGAGGACUCAAAGUUAUACUCAGACUUCUGACUGCCUGGGGGUUUAGCACCCUUAAUCCUGUGUUGUUUAAGCAUCAACUUUUGAUUUUUAAAAUGUAUUUCACCAUUUUAAAAUGAGUUUACUAGAAAAUUUAAAAGUACAUAUGUGCCUCACUUUAUAUUUCUGUUAGAUGACACUUUCUUACUCUUUGGGUAGCUAAGUUAUUAUUCUUGUAUUAUAAAUAGUUAUAGUGUUUCAAUCAUUUUCUCCAAAAUAUAAUCAUCAAGAGUAAGUUUUGAUAUUUUCUGUCUAGUAGACAUUCAGUGUCUUUGAGAAAGCAUUGUUCCAAUACAGUAGAGGAGGAAAGAAUGGCAAUGAUGAAGUUUAUGAACAGCUUCAUAAAAGCCCCUGGGUAUCUUAGAAGAUGGGCAAUUAGAAGGUAUCUUUACAUACCAGUACCAAUCAAUAUGUUCAUAUGUUGCAUUCUUACCAGUGACCAAAUCUCUGGCGAGUAUAGUCAGGUUGAUCCUGGAACAACACGGGUUUGAACUGUGUGGGUGUCCUUUUAUGUUUGUUUUUUCCCAAUAAAUAUAGUCAGCCCUUAAUAUCUGUUGGUUUCACAUUCAAGGGUUCAGCCACCUGUGGUUCUAAACAGUAAUUUUGCAUUCCCGGCAACAGCUCGAAAUAUUGUUUGCCAGGGUUCCCCUGUCUUCAUAUCCCUAUGAACACUUGUUAUCUCAUGUUUUUGAUAUUCGCCAUCCUCACGUGUAGGAAGUAAAAUCUCACUGUCAAUUGGCUUUGCAUUUCCUGAACGAUUAGUGAUGUUAAGCACCUUUUCAUGUAUGUAUUGUCUGGCCAUUUGUAUGUCUUUAGAAAAUACCUAGUUAGGUCCUUUGCCCAUUUUUUAAAUCAUGUUGCAGUUGACCCUUGAAUAACAUGGGGGUUUGCUCCAGCAGUCCAAAUUCCAUGUAUAAUGUUUGACUCCACCCAAAUUAAUUACAGUCGUCCCUCAGUUAUCCAUAGGGGAUUGGUUCCAGGUGCCCCCCACUGGUAGCAAAAUCCUCAGAUGCUGAAGUCCUUAUGUAAAAUGGCAUGGAAGAAGUCCCCUUUGUAUCUGUGGUUGACUGAUAAAUCCAUGGAUGUGAACCACUAGGAUAUGGGAGGCCAGUGUACUUACUGAAAAAGAAAAAAAAAGACUGCAUUUAUGUGGAUCUGCCCAGUUCAAGCCCAUGUUGUUCAAGGAUCAACUGUACAUGUGUUUUUGUUGUUGAGUUGUAUGAAUUCCUUAUAUAUUUUAGAUAAUAAACCUUAAUCAGGUAUAUGGAUUGUACAUUUUGUUCCCAUUUCAUGGGUUGUCUUGUUAUUUUGUUGAUGGUUUUCUUUGCUGUGCAGAGCUUUUUAGCUCUAUGUAGUCCUACUUGUUUAUAUUUGCUAUUGUUGCCUGUGCUUUUGGAUUUACUCAAAAUAUUAGGUUGCAUAAGGUCUUAGAAAGGGACGAAGAUAUAUGACAUUGUAUAAUCUCUUGGAGUAAUGUGUAUAGGAGUAUGUAAACAUUAAUAUUAAAUAUAUGUUGAGUCGGUUGCUAUUGUAAUUUUGGUGAAUGUUUUGAAAAUAUUCUUGCCAAAAGGUUAUAGAUUAUUUCAAUGUACUAGAGUUUGAGGAAGAUCAAACCAGAUCUCGCUAUCCUUUAGGAACUUUUUCACACCCACCUAGAAUUAGGCAACUUGGGGAUUGUUGACACUUUGUUUUCAAAUCACGAGGGUAGAUGCAAAGAUAGGGAUUUCGGAUUAAGAUUUAAAACCAAUUUAGAUAUUGAAGGGACCUUAGAUACUAAAUAAUAAACCAUCUUCCUCGUUUUUUUAAUUUGAAAACUGAAGAAGGCCCAAAUUGCUUAACCUGUAGUAAGUACUAGUUGUUCAAGUCAAAACCUGGGAGUUGUUUAUGAACACCUUCUUCUCCCUCAGUCCUGCAUCCAGUCUCCAUUGUUAAUCAUUUUCAGAAACUUAACUAAAAAUACAAAUUUUAUAGCUUUGUGUACAAGGCCCUAUAUAAUCUGAGUUUGCCUAUUUUUCCAGCCACAUUAUUGUCCCUCACAAGUGUUUGUUUGCUCUGGCCAUGUGGACCUUGCUUUGGUUCCUUCCCCUUCAAUUUUUUUUCUUUUACAGUUUAUCAGUUUGCAGUUAUAUAAUAUUUAUUUGCAUAUAAGCUCUUAUUAGAACAAGGAUUGACUAUUUAGUCAUCAUUUUAAUUUCCUGAGCCUAGCAGAAAUCCUGGCACAUAGCUGAUAAAUAAAUACAGGUAAGUGGAUGAGUCACUGACUGACUAGAUAUUCCUGAGCUUCCACUUCCCAUGUAUAAUUUGUAUAAUUGUACCUACCUAUGGUGAUAGAGAAUUCAGUGAGAAUAUCUGUGAUAAAUGUUUGUUUCCUUUUUCCUCUCAAUUUUCCUUCUUUUAUUCGGAAUAAUAUAGUGGAUUGUUCGAGCUGUUUUCUGAUCAGUUAAUUGUUUCUAUUACAGUUUGCAUCUGGUGUUUGUAAUUCAAUUUGUUGAAAACUUAAGUAGCUGUACUGUACUAGAGGAUGGAGGGUAGGAGGGCAGGGCUAGAACGAUAUAUACAUACUGAUUAAAUGAAGAGUAAGAUAAUCACAUAGAGUUAGUUUCCUCUCCAAGUAAAAGAGACUCAAAAUUGCACUGAUUCAACAAGGCAGACUAUUUCUCUCUAACGUAAAAGUUGGGAAGGACACAGUCCAGGGCUUUUAUGGCAGUUCUGUCUCACAGUCCUCAAAGACCUAGAUCCUGUUCAAGGAACUAGGAUGGAUAUGCCAUUUGUCCUUUAAGAAGUUUUCUGGAAGCCACGCAAUACCUCUACUGAAAAUGCUGGUUGGAAUUUUGUCAUGUGGCUCCAAGCUACAAGGGAGGCUGAGAGAUCUAGUGUUUGUCAUAAGGCUCUGUAUUUACCUAAAAACUGAAUAUUUUAGUAGAAUGGAAAAUGGUAAGAUUGGAUGCUGAAUAUAGGUAGGUCUU